CAGAGUGUAACAGCUCCCAAACCAUCGCGAACCCACCGUACCGUACGUUGCUUCGGCGGGCGGCCCCCCCCUGGGGGCCCCCCUUUCGGGCCCGCGAGGGCGCCCGCCGGAGUGCCGAAUAACCACGAGCUUCGAAGAUAACCCUCUGAGUCAGCCACAAACAAGUUA
rnacentral:misc_RNA from 1 species